GAUGAACGCUGGCGGCGUGCCUAAUACAUGCAAGUCGAGCGAACAGACGAGGAGCUUGCUCCUCUGACGUUAGCGGCGGACGGGUGAGUAACACGUGGAUAACCUACCUAUAAGACUGGGAUAACUUCGGGAAACCGGAGCUAAUACCGGAUAAUAUAUUGAACCGCAUGGUUCAAUAGUGAAAGACGGUUUUGCUGUCACUUAUAGAUGGAUCCGCGCCGCAUUAGCUAGUUGGUAAGGUAACGGCUUACCAAGGCAACGAUGCGUAGCCGACCUGAGAGGGUGAUCGGCCACACUGGAACUGAGACACGGUCCAGACUCCUACGGGAGGCAGCAGUAGGGAAUCUUCCGCAAUGGGCGAAAGCCUGACAGAGCAACGCCGCGUGAGUGAUGAAGGUCUUCGGAUCGUAAAACUCUGUUAUUAGGGAAGAACAAAUGUGUAAGUAACUAUUCACGUCUUGACGGUACCUAAUCAGAAAGCCACGGCUAACUACGUG
rnacentral:rRNA from 1 species